rnacentral:tRNA from 1 species
UUAAUAUAAAUCUAAAAUGGCAGAAUAGUGCAUUGGACUUAAACCCCAAAUAUAAAGUAUAGCUUU